rnacentral:rRNA from 1 species
UUAAUAUGACAAUGUAUUAUAUAUUAUCAAGUUACGACGGCAUACAAAAUAUUACAUGAAGUGGAUUACCUUGGUGGUUAUCAAUUAAUUGGUAAGUUCCCCUAAAUUUUAAAAUUACCGUCAUGCUAUUUGAGUUUUAAUCAAGAAGAUUUUAGUACUCAGUAUUUUUAAAUGGAUAUUGUAUAAAAGGGUAUCUAAUCCUUGUUUAUGAUCAAUAUUAUAAAUAUAUUAGAUUAUAUAAGAUUAUAAAUGUGCUAUUUCACCAAUAUUAAUAUAUAAGCUUUAUUAUACUAUACAUAGUUUAUUACUAUAAAAGUCUGACCGCGACUGCUGGCACUUUUUAAGUCAUAGUAUAUAUAAUUGGUUUAUUCUUACUUUCAUAAAUUUUUAAAUUUUCUUUCCUGGUAAAGAUCUUUU